rnacentral:lncRNA from 1 species
UGCUCAAGUAGUCUGUCCUCAGAGGUGUAAUUUUUGGAUAGACUAGGGAUUAGGGAUGGGCAAAAUACCCAUGGGUAUGGAUAACCACGGUUACCCGCCCAUUUAAAGUUGAUAGUUAUGGUUAUGGAUAACCGUUUAGACAAAUAAACGGUUAUGGGUAUAACCGUUUAUCCAUGAAAUUUAAAUGGCCGAUUAUGGGUAUUAUCCGGGGUUAUAACGGGUAUCCAUCGGUUAUGGGUAAUAUUCAUGAUUAUAACGUGUUAGAUUAUUUAAUAUCCAAAGUAUGGGUUAUAGGUAUGGGUAGAUUAUUUAAUAUCCAAAGCAUGGGUUAUAUGUAUGGGUUAUUGUGUAAAGUAUGGGUGUUAGAAUAUUAGUGUGUGAAGCAUGGUGUGUGAGGUUCAUCGGGUGACUCACGACAUUCUCCACUUGUAUAAGUUCUCUUUCUUGUAACCUUACUGAUUUCAAUACAAACAAUUCUUUCAAACUAUCACAUGGUAUCAGAGCAGGCUUCCUAAAGAACCUGUUCUCUGAAAUCUUUUGAAAUGGAAGAAGAAAAUAUACUUGCUGCUUCAUCCGAGAACAUCCUUGGUUCUUCAUCAGUUUCUUCAAGUGAAGCUGAUGGAAAUCCCAAUCAACGUCUUUGUUCCAUACUCCUAACUGAGUUUAAUUAUCUUCCUUGGUCAAGAGCUAUUACUUUAGCUCUUGGAGGAAGAUCUAAGCUUGGUUUCAUCAAUGGAACUAUCGUACCUCCUGAGGUUGGUGAUUCUAAGUAUGAAGAAUGGUUCUGCAAGGAUCAGCUCGUCAUGUCCUGGUUGCUCAACUCAAUGGGCCCAAAGGUAUCAGAAAUUUUCAGCUUUUCAGAAUCAGCUUUUGAUCUGUGGAAGGCUGUCAAGGAGAUGUAUGGAAAUCAAAAUAAUGCAGCCAGGAUAUUUGAGCUGCAGAAGAGUCUCUCUGUUCUGAAUCAAGAUGGAAAGACUUUUAUCGAGCACUUGGGAAGACUGAAGUCUAUGUGGAAUGAGUUGAAUCUCUAUCGGCCUCACACUACAGACCCAGCAAUCCUUCUUAAGCAGGCUGAAGAAGACAAGGUCUUUCAGCUUUUAUCCAGUCUUGACUCUACCUAUGAGGACCUGCGAAGCCACAUAUUGAUGAGUGUUGAACUACCAUCUCUCAAUACUGUGUGCACUAUCGUUCAACGAGAAGAAGCAAGAAGGAAAGUUAUGAGUACUAAGGUUGGUGAUCCUGAGUCCAGAGCUUUCGUUGCAAGUGACAGAAGGUUUGAAGGAAAAAUUUUCAAAGGAAAGAAAUGAGAGAUGCAAUGCAGUCAUUGUGGACAGAAGAAUCAUCUCAGAGACACUUGUUGGGUGUUGUAUCCACACCUUAAGCCUAACUUUUCCAAACAAACCAAACCUGGUCGCAGUGCAAAUCAAGUCUCUCGCUUGCAGACUGCCUCAACUGUUGGGAACUUCACAUCUAAUCCCUCAGCCCUCUUGAGUGAGUUCUCUUCCUUCACUCAGAAGAAAGAUGAAAGCAAUCUUCAUAAGGGAAACAGUGAAGCUAGCACCACUGAAUUAUUUGAGCAGUUCGCAAAAUUUCUUCAGACAAAGGUGUCAUCUUCCGUUGACAUGUCAGGUAUUCUAAACUCAUUUAGUGCUGCACUUGCUUCCAGAAAACUUGCAAAUGUUUGGAUAAUAGACUCUGGAGCGACUGAUCACAUUACAAAUAUAAAAAGAUAUAUGCAUGACUUUAAAGAGGCAGUUAUUCCACACAAUUUGUCUCUGUUGCUAAUGGAACUGGUGUAUCAGUUUUGGGUGAAGGGAAAGUCAAGUUAAUUGAUACUAAUGUUGAAUCAACUGCUCUAUAUGUGCCCUCCUUUCCAUUUCAGCUUCUGUCAGUAGGAAGGUUGACAAAUUCCUUAAACUGUGAUGUUUAUAUUCUCGCCAUUCAAUGUGAUUUUCCAGGAUCGUAUCACGAAGAAGAAGAUUGGUGAAGGCAUGUAUAAAGAUGGCCUCUAUAUGCUUUCAUUGCAACCUAUUGAAGCUAGAGGUCUUCAAGUUGGCUUUUUGAAGAAUCAUCUAUUAUGGCAUAGACGAUUAGGGCAUCCCUCUAAUCUUGUGCAAUCACAUCUCUUCAAAACUUCAGAGAAUGUGAUGACUCAAGAUUGUGAAGUUUGCCAUUUUUUCAAAACAGACGAGGUUGCCUUUUGAUGUCUCAUCAACCAAGUCAUGUAAACCUUUUUGAGAUUGUGCACUCUGAUGUUUGGGGACCUGCACCCUUGGUUUCUUUUGAUGGUUUUAAAUACUUUGUCACCUUUGUGGAUGAUUUCUCAAGAUGUACCUGGUUGUAUUUUGUUGAAAUCAAAAGAUGAAGUUAUUAAUGUGUUCCAAGAAUUUCACAGUCUUGUUACAAAUCAGUUCUCAACCCAACUUAAAGUCUUAAGGUCAGACAAUGGUACUGAGUAUAUGUCUAAUGCUUUUACUCAAUAUCUAACUUGUCAUGGAAUAAUUCAUCAAACGAGCUGUGUUGGUACUCCGCAACAAAAUGGAGUAGCAGCAGAAGAAAGAACCGUGAUCUACUGGAGAAAACUCGAUCACUUAUGCUUCAAAUGAGUGUACCCAAGAAAUUCUGGUCCCAUGGGGUUCUUACUGCUGCAUAUGUAAUUAAUAGGCUUCCAAGCAAGGUUCUCAAAUUCAAGGCACCUCUUGAAACACUUAAUGGCAGGAAAAUUAACUUGUCUCACCUUCGAGUGUUUGGAUGUGUCUGCUUUGUUCAUAUUCAAACCUUGCAUCGAGAUAAAUUGGACCCUAGAGCUGUAAGGUGUUUGUUCUUAGGGUACUCAUCUGUUCAAAAGGGAUAUAAGUGCUAUGACCCAAAGCGCAUGAAACUUUUGGUGUCUAGAGAUGUGGUUUUUGACGAGAAAACUCCUUUUUUUGCUAGUACCAGGGGUGAAGAUCUUCUGGGGGAGGAGGACUUUCUUGAUCAAAUCCACACGCCAAUUAUGGAAAUCAAUGCACUGCCUCAUCAUUUUUCAGUUCCAGAUCAACCAAGCAACAAUGAAAUUUCGAUUGAUCCAGUUGAGUGUAAUUCAUCAUCUGACAUACUUGUUGAUAAUGAAUCAACUGAAGACACUGAACAAAAUCAAAUUUCGUCUGAGGAGAACCUUGCUAUUACUCCUAAAGUGAUCACUCCAAGGAGAAACCCUAGUAGAAAUCGGGGUAAGCCAACUUGGUUUAAAGAUUAUGUAAGUUAUACCUCAAGACAUCCUAUAGAAAAAUAUCUUGAAUACUCAAGAGUAUCUUCGUCUCAUGCUGUUUUCCUAAGCAAAAUUUCAGCCUCAUCUGAACCAAGCUCAUUCCAAGAAGCUAACUCUCAAUUGAUCUGGAAAACAGCUAUGGAUGAGGAGCUUAGAGCUCUAAAUGAAAACAAAACUUGGAGCAUCACCAAGCUACCUAAGGGGAUGAGAGCUGUGGGGUGUCGAUGGGUGUACAAAACCAAAUUUAAGAGUGAUGGUUCAGUGGAGAGACACAAAGCUAGAUUGGUGGCUAGAGGUUUUACUCAAACUUAUGGCAUUGAUUACAAGGAAACCUUUGCUCCUGUGGCAAAGAUGAACUCGGUAAGAGUGCUUCUCUCGGUUGCUGUCAACCAUGAUUGGCCCCUAUUCCAAAUGGAUGUUAAGAAUGCCUUCCUGCAUGGAGAACUUAAAGAAGAUGUGUACAUGCAAUUGCCUCCGGGACAUCCACAAGAAGGAGAGGGCAUGGUUUGCAAGUUUACACAAGGCCAUUUAUGGCCUCAAACAAUCUCCUCGAGCUUGGUAUGCCAAGUUAAGUUCUGUGUUAGAGAACAUUGGUUUUAAAAGGAGCAAUGCAGAUUCCUCACUAUUUGUGCGAGAUAGUUCAGCAGGUAAACUUGUCGUUCUCAUCUAUGUCGAUGAUCUCAUUGUGACUGGUGACAGUUUGACAGAAAUUCAGCGACUUAAGGGCUUUCUUCACAAAAAGUUUGCAAUUAAAGAUCUAGGAACUCUGAAGUAUUUUCUAGGCAUUGAAGUUGCUUCAUCUAGUAAAGGCUUGCUCUUGAACCAACGCAAGUACAUACUCGAUUUACUUCAAGAGUCCAAAAUGCUUGAGGCAAAACCAGUGGCAACCCCAAUAGCUUGCAAAGAGAAACUUGGAUUAGAUGGAGACUUGCUGACAGACGUUAGUUUAUACCAGAGAUUGGUAGGGAAACUUAUUUACCUUACCAUUACUCGUCCUGAUAUCAUGCAUGCCGUGAGCCUAGUCAGUCAGUUCAUGCAUGCUCCUCGAUCAAUUCACUUACAAGCUGUUCGAAGGAUCUUGCGCUACUUGAAAGGCACCGUUGGAACUGGGAUCGUGAUGAGGAAGAUCGGAAAUGCUCACAUUGUUGGCUACACAGAUGCAGACUGGGGUGGCUCCAAAAUUGAUCGAAGAUCUACUACUGGAUAUUGUACAUUUGUUGGUGGAAAUCUGGUGACAUGGAAAAGCAGAGAAAACAAAGUGUGGUGGCUCGAUCAAGUGCAGAAGCUGAAUAUCGUGCCAUGGCAUCUACUACCUGUGAGUUAAUUUGGCUGCAAGGUUUGCUCAACGACUUAGGGUUCAAGAGAACACUGCCUAUGCCUCUUUUCUGUGAUAACCAAGCUGCUAUUUACAUUGCAUCUAAUCCUGUAUUUCAUGAAAGAACCAAACACAUUGAAAUGGACUGUCAUUUUGUUCGAGAAAAAACCCAAUCUGAUGUCAUUCAACCUGUUUUUGUUCGGAGCACAGAUCAACUAGCAGACAUCUUCACCAAAGGAUUGUCUCGGGUUCAAUUCAACACUCUUUUGGUCCAACUUGGCUUGAUGAAUAUACUAGCCUUCGUUUGAGGGGGAGUGUUAGAUUAUUUAAUAUCCAAAGUAUGGGUUAUAGGUAUGGGUAGAUUAUUUAAUAUCCAAAGCAUGGGUUAUAUGUAUGGGUUAUUGUGUAAAGUAUGGGUGUUAGAAUAUUAGUGUGUGAAGCAUGGUGUGUGAUGUUCAUCGGGUGACUCACGACAUUCUCCACUUGUAUAAGUUCUCUUUCUUGUAACCUUACUGAUUUCAAUACAAACAAUUCUUUCAAACUAUCGGGUAUCCAUUUACCCAUUUAAUUUAAUAUAUGUAAAAUUAAAAAAAAAUUUAAAAACCCUUAGAGAAUAAAUUACAACUCUGUCACUCUCUCUCCGCCUCUCGACUUCGUCACUCUCUCUCUCUCCGUCGCUCUCGCUUUGAGGCAGUUGCUAAAGAGCUUCUGCAGCAAUUCGCCUUGGAAUUAUUCAGUGUUUUGGAAGCUCAAGCCAAAACAGCAAGUGAAAUCCAUACGAAAUGAGCAGGGGAUCAUUCGAAAUCAGCCAAUUUAGUGUGUUAAUGAGUUCGGAUCAUCAACAAAACAACCAGCAGUCGAUGCACUACAGCGGAGAAACGAAAACCCUCUCAACCCUGCUUGACAAUAAAUCCUCUCAUCGAAUACAGCAACGACCCAAAAUUUUAUCUUCUGCAAGAAUGCUCUCUGCCUGCAAGGCAAUUCCGAACUCAUUUAUCGAAUCACCAACUUCCGCUAUCAGUCCUGUUUGAUCUCUUUCUGUUAAUGUUAUUGAUCACUCGGGCCGAUUAAAAAUUAGCAUCCAAUAAAUAAAAAGAAAUUACUAAAUAAGUUAAAAAUCAGACUCCAAGACAAGGUAGCACCGAAUUUCCAUCUCACAGAGAAUAGUUUUAUCCACUUUCUCCGUAGCUCUACGUGCCCAUUUCGGUGUCAAGAAUCGCACAAGCCCAUAGCGGUUACCAUUACACUUCCCCCACUUCAAGGACGCCAAAUUUAUAACCACGACCACUUUCAGUUCUGUACCAGCAAUGAAUUUUUUAAUUUUUUAAUUUUCUUUUGUAAUUUUCAAAUUGUUAAAAACAAUAAUGUAGACGGGCGAAAAAAAAAGGUAAAUGGAUAAAAAAGGAUAAACGGGCGAAAAAAUAGGUAAACGGGUACAUGGUUAUGGUUAUGGUUAAAUAGGUAAAUGGUUAUGGGUAAAUGGGUACACGGUUAUGGGUAUGAAUAACCGUUUAUAAACGGUUAUGGUUAUGGGUAUAACCAUUUAUGUAAUUACCCAACGGGUAAAUGGUUAUGCGGGUAUGAACAUAAACGGUUAUGGGCCCGCAUAACCAUUGCCCAUCUCUACUAGGGAUAUGGCUUCUCCACCGUUGCACAAAGAAAACCAAAUACACACACAGAAACCUAUAUAAAACACCAACAAUCAAUAAUUCAACAAAAUGAUGAUCAACUCAUUUCAGCAUUCCCGUGAAUUCAUGAAACCCAAUAAAGAAAAUUAGCUCAGUAAACAUGUAUAUGAACAUAUGUGUGUACCUAUCUGUGUGUGUUGUCUAAGCAACAAAAUACAACAGAGUGAGAGGGUAUAGGGGGCAUUACACCAAGGAAUUUGAGAAGCUCCUUGGUAGCAAAAGGAGGGUUGAGAGAAUAUUUCCAGCCUCCUUGAGCUGCUCCUCCAGCUCUUUCUUAGAAGAGCAAGACAUUUCAACAACAACCCAGAAAACAAAGAAGCCACGUUUUAGGGAUUUAUGCAAUUGAAAGGAAGAACUACAGUCCAAUUCAAAUUGAAAACCCACAUUGAAAUCCAGAAAUUAUGCAAUUAUGCAAUUGAAAUACAUGAAUUAUGCAAUUGAAGGGAAUAACUACAAAUCGUGGAGGGCAGGGGACGACGACGACGGAGAGUGACGAUGUGUGGGUGGAACCGUGGAGAGGAGGGGACGACGACGACACAAGACAUUGAGAGAAUCGAGUUGAAUUCGAUGACUCCAGUGACAGAGUCGAGCUCGUUUAUCAAUCAAAGUGGUGUGGGUGCCUGGGUUCUGUGAUGUCGGGGUGGUGGAGGAGACGACGAGGCGAAACGACGAGAGACAAUGGAGUCGAGUUCGAGGACUCCA